UGGCUGAGAGGUAAAGCGCUUGGCUUUUGAACCGGGGGUCCCGGGUUCGAAUCCUGG
rfam:Biomphalaria glabrata isolate BB02 linkage group LG4i unlocalized genomic scaffold LG4i_random_Scaffold22, whole genome shotgun sequence.